GACGAACGCUGGCGGCGUGCUUAACACAUGCAAGUCGAACGGAAAGGCCCUGCUUUUGUGGGGUGCUCGAGUGGCGAACGGGUGAGUAACACGCGAGUAACCUGCCCUUGACUUUGGGAUAACUUCAGGAAACUGGGGCUAAUACCGGAUAGGAGCUCCUGCUGCAUGGUGGGGGUUGGAAAGUUUCGGCGGUUGGGGAUGGACUCGCGGCUUAUCAGCUUGUUGGUGGGGUAGUGGCUUACCAAGGCUUUGACGGGUAGCCGGCCUGAGAGGGUGGACGGGCACAUGGGGACUGAGAGACGGACCAGACUGCUACGGGAGGCAGCGGGGGGGAAUAUUGCACAAUGGGCGGGAGCCUGAUGCAGCGACGCCGCGUGCGGGAUGACGGCCUUCGGGGUGUGAACCGCUUUCGCCUGUGACGAAGCGUGAGUGACGGUAAUGAGUAAAGAAGCACCGGCUAACUACGUG
rnacentral:rRNA from 1 species